rnacentral:rRNA from 1 species
UCGACGAUUGGUGUAUUUAUUAGAUUAAAAGCCAACGCCCUUCGGGGCUCUUUGGUGAUUCAUAAUAACUGGUCGAAUCGCAUGGCCUUGCGCCGGCGAUGGUUCAUUCAAAUUUCUUCCCUAUCAACUUUCGAUGCGAGGGUCUUGUCCUCGCAUGGUUGCAACGGGUAACGGAGGGUUAGGGCUCGACCCCGGAGAAGGAGCCUGAGAAACGGCUACUACAUCCAAGGAAGGCAGCAGGCGCGCAAAUUACCCAAUCCCGACACGGGGAGGUAGUGACAAUAAAUACUGAUACAGGGCUCUUUUGGGUCUUGUAAUCGGAAUGAGUACAAUUUAAAUCCCUUAACGAGGAACAAUUGGAGGGCAAGUCUGGUGCCAGCAAAUC